UACAGAGGGUGCUAGCGUUGUUCGGAAUCAUUGGGCGUAAAGGGUGUGUAGGUGGCGCCGUAAGUCAGGUGUGAAAUUUCGGAGCUUAACUCCGAAACUGCAUUUGAUACUGCGGUGCUUGAGGACUGGAGAGGAGACUGGAAUUUACGGUGUAGCAGUGAAAUGCGUAGAUAUCGUAAGGAAGACCAGUGGCGAAGGCGGGUCUCUGGGACGGUACUGACGCUGAGACGCGAAAAGCGUGGGGGAGCGAACAGG
rnacentral:rRNA from 1 species